rnacentral:rRNA from 1 species
AGUGAACGCUGGCGGUAGGCCUGACACAUGCAAGUCGAACGGCAGCACAGUAAGAGCUUGCUCUUACGGGUGGCGAGUGGCGGACGGGUGAGGAAUACAUCGGAAUCUACUUUUUCGUGGGGGAUAACGUAGGGAAACUUACGCUAAUACCGCAUACGACCUAUGGGUGAAAGCAGGGGAUCUUCGGACCUUGCGCGAUUGAAUGAGCCGAUGUCGGAUUAGCUAGUUGGCGGGGUAAAGGCCCACCAAGGCGACGAUCCGUAGCUGGUCUGAGAGGAUGAUCAGCCACACUGGAACUGAGACACGGUCCAGACUCCUACGGGAGGCAGCAGUGGGGAAUAUUGGACAAUGGGCGCAAGCCUGAUCCAGCCAUACCGCGUGGGUGAAGAAGGCCUUCGGGUUGUAAAGCCCUUUUGUUGGGAAAGAAAAGCAGCAGGUUAAUACCCCGCUGUUCUGACGGUACCCAAAGAAUAAGCACCGGCUAACUUCGUG